rnacentral:misc_RNA from 1 species
UCCUGGUUAACCCAGGCAGUCUCGUUAGAGUUCCCACCAUUACGUGUUGGCAACUAACGAUAAGGGUUGCGCUCGUUGCGGGACUUAACCCAACACCUCACGGCACGAGCUGACGACAGCCAUGCAGCACCUGUGCAGCAGUCCCGAAGGAAAGCAUCAUUUCUGAUGCGGUCUACUGCAUGUCAAGUCUGGGUAAGGUUCUUCGCGUUGCAUCGAAUUAAACCACAUGCUCCACUGCUUGUGCGGGUCCCCGUCAAUUCUUUUGAGUUUCAGCCUUGCGACUGUACUCCUCAGGCGGUAUACUUAACGCGUUAGCUACGGCACAACUAGGGUUGAGUCCAGUUACACCAAGUAUACAUAGUUUACAGUAAGGACUAC